rnacentral:rRNA from 1 species
GACGAACGCUGGCGGCGUGCUUAACACAUGCAAGUCGAACGGAAAGGCCCUGCUUGCAGGGUACUCGAGUGGCGAACGGGUGAGUAACACGUGGGUGAUCUGCCCUGCACCUCGGGAUAAGCCUGGGAAACUGGGUCUAAUACCGGAUAGGAGCCAUUUUUAGUGUGAUGGUUGGAAAGUUUUUUUCGGUGUAGGAUGAGCUCGCGGCCUAUCAGCUUGUUGGUGGGGUAAUGGCCUACCAAGGCGGCGACGGGUAGCCGGCCUGGGAGGGUGGACGGCCACAUUGGGACUGAGAUACGGCCCAGACUCCUACGGGAGGCAGCAGUGGGGAAUAUUGCACAAUGGGCGCAAGCCUGAUGCAGCGACGCCGCGUGGGGGAUGACGGCCUUCGGGUUGUAAACUCCUUUCGCUAGGGACGAAGCUUUUUGUGACGGUACCUAGAUAAGAAGCACCGGCUAACUACGUG